rnacentral:rRNA from 1 species
GUGCCAGCCGCCGCGGUAAUACGGAAGAUGCGAGCGUUAUCCGGAUUUAUUGGGUUUAAAGGGAGCGUAGGCGGACGCUUAAGCCUGCGGUCAAAUGUCAGCGCCCAACGCUGGCCUGCCGUGGGAACUGGGUGUCUUGAAUGUGCACAAGGAAGGUGGAAUUCGUGGUGUAGCGGUGAAAUGCUUAGAUAUCACGAAGAACUCCGAUUGCGAAGGCAGCCUUCUGGGGCAUGAUUGACGCUGAGGCUCGAAAGCGCGGGAAUCAAACAGGAUUAGAUACCCUGGUAGUCCGCGCCGUAAACGAUGAGUGCCCGCUUUUGGCGAUAUAUUGUCAGAGGCUGAGCGAAAGCAUUAAGCACUCCACCUGGGGAGUACGCCGGCAACGGUGAAACUCAAAGGAAUUGACGGGGGCCCGCACAAGCGGAGGAACAUGUGGUUUAAUUCGAUGAUACGCGAGGAACCUUACCCGGGCUUGAAUUGCACAGGAAGGGAGGCAGAGACGCCUUCCGUCUUCGGACCUGUGUGAAGGUGCUGCAUGGUUGUCGUCAGCUCGUGCCGUGAGGUGUCGGCUUAAGUGCCAUAACGAGCGCAACCCCUUCGUGUAGUUGCCAUCAGGUGAUGCUGGGCACUCUGCACGUACUGCCAUCGCAAGAUGUGAGGAAGGUGGGGAUGACGUCAAAUCAGCACGGCCCUUACGUCCGGGGCUACACACGUGUUACAAUGGGGGGCACAGAGAGCUGCUGGCCGGCGACGGUUGGCUAAUCUACAAAUCCCCUCUCAGUUCGGAUCGGAGUCUGCAACCCGACUCCGUGAAGCUGGAUUCGCUAGUAAUCGCGCAUCAGCCAUGGCGCGGUGAAUACGUUCCCGGGCCUUGUACACACCGCCCGU